GGGGCUGUGGCUCAGCGGUAGUGUGCUCGCCUAGCAUGUGUGAGGCCCUGGGUUCAAUUCUCAGCAUCCCA
rnacentral:tRNA from 1 species